AGAGUCUGACUUUGUGCAACAUGUGUUAUUGCACAUACACACAGCUAACAGGAUGUGGAGACUGGUAGCCAUUUGCUGGAGGCGAGACAGGGAGGGGUGGCCGUCCGUCAUCCAGGGAGCGUCACACAAGUGGCCGGUGCCGUUGCCAGUGCAGGAAGGCUUCAAAAAAAAAAAAAAAAAUCAUCAAGGGUCUCAGCAGGGGGCCUUGGGCCAGGGUCCGGCCCGACGAGCCCCCUUUGAUGCGCUGCGUGAUGAUGUCAUCGCGAGGGAGGGGAGCGAGGCACCAUCAAAGGCGAGGAAAGGGGUGGGAUGAAGAUGCGGAGGAAGAGGAGGAGGAGCGGCACAUCCAAGACAACAACGGGACAAAGAUGGCGACGGCGUCCGCUGGCCGGCCGGCGGGACGUCCCCCGAAAACCUCCACCCGCGUCGGCACCCCCGUCGCUCGGCCUCGGGAUGACUGGCGGAAGGAAGGAAGGAAGGAAGGAAGGAAGGAAGCGUGCGGCGGCGGAAGGCCGAGCGCCGCCGCCGUCGGCCUGGCACGGCUACGCUCCAUCGCCACGAGACAGCAGCCAGCCAGGCUCGGUGGACCUGUGCAAGUGUGUGGACCCCACCUGAUGCUUCAUGGCCGGGCGGGAUGGCACUCUGCCCGUCCGACUGAAUGACUGACAGCCGCAAUGAGGCUGGCGGGCGGCGUGACGCGGCGCGCCGGCUCCCGGCGGAAGCGGACGGGAUCCCCUCUCAACUGACGGCAGGCAGGGCAGGGCAGAGCAGAGCAGAGCAGGGCAGGGCAGGGCAGGUCCGACACGACAGGUGAGAAGACUUUUUUUUUCUUUCUUUUCGUCAAAAGCUGCACGGAUGGAUUAGCAGCUCUUGAACUCGCUGUCGGGGUUGCGGGGUGACCGUGUUGACCGACCGGAGCGUUGUCGGCGAGUAGCCGAACGGACAGAACCGCAACGUGUCCGACCGACCGACCGACAUUUUACCGCUUCAUCGACCAUCGUUGACAACUAGGUUCUUUUUUUCCCUUUUGUCACGUAGACACAGGUGUUAUUAUUAUUAGCAGCAUAGGCUUCUGUAUUUAUCAAUAGUUGAAGCCCCCCAAAUUAGAGGACAUGUGGCUCUUGCAUUAAGUCAUGAAAUUGAUCAUAAACAGACAUAUGUUCAGAUGGAAAAGAUAUCAAAUGCAACGUUAACAUUGAAAAUAUGAUAUCAUUUACUGCUUUUAUUGAGGUACAUUCACCUAAAAUGGUUUCAAUUUGAAAACAAAUAUGACUUCAUCAACGAAAUAAAUCCAAAAAUCGUUUUUGAACGAUCAGAAAUC